AUGAACAUUGGGAAGGAUUCAUUUAUCCUUCCCAUUUAUGUCUAGCUCCAAUAAGGAACACUUCAGAAGCGAUUCAUGGUACGAGAAAAGCGGCAACUUUUAGAGGAUUUCCUAGGUUAGGAGUUUAAAACUCAUGCUCGUUUUCUUAUUACAUUAAUUUGUUUUGUCCUUGAUCAAGGCUCCAGUUUACUUCUUUCCAUGAUUGUUUUUUAUUAUGAAAAGCAAGGCUAGCUGUAGAAAUGCCAUCUGCGAUUGUUUUUGCCAUUUUUAAUACAAGAUUAAGCCUUGUAUUUUGCAAAACAAAAAAUUCCAUAAAGCCGCUGACAUUCACAAUACCUGUAAUAUGUAUGUCUCCUACAGGCGGAAGCUCUUUAUUUACUCCUGCUCCGGGUUUAACCGGACCUUCACCGAUUUGAAUAACGCCAACGCUUUUUAGCCGGCCAAGGCAUGCAUCAAUUCCGAUGAUAAAAGGAUGAACAUGUUUUUCUUUUAUCUCCAUUAAUUUAUCUUCAAGAUUAACAGCAUGGAUUGGAUCCUCAAGCGUUCCGUAUACAUGAAAAGGUGCAAUGGCCUUUUCUUCAAGUAGCGUUCCGACAAGUGGACCUAAUGAAUCACCAGUAGAGCGGUCAGUGCCAAUACAAACAAAUACGAUUGGGCGGCUGCUAAUAACUGGAAUAAGCGACAAUAAUUCUGUGGAAAUUUUUCCAGCGGCCAGCUGCUCAUCGUAAAAUAUUCUUGCCGUUUCGCCUCUCUUUUCAAAAAAAUUGGGUUUUAAAUUCAUUGGUUCCACUCCUUCUCCAUAGUAGUAACAGUAUACGG
rnacentral:antisense_RNA from 1 species